AUAGGCAGUUAAUUUACCGGCAGAGGCACGGGAGGUACGACAGCAGGACUGACAGUGAUAAAGCAGCAACUAAGAGACACAGAGAUACUACGCCAGCUGUGGUCAGCGCUUCCAGACGCCCAGGGUGCUUAGGUGCUUAUGUGGUGUUGAGAUGUGGAACCCGGAGCGACCUAGUGAAUGACGAUCUAGGAGAGAGGCGGGCUCCCGCUCCGAGGUGGAGCUUAGGCGGAUGACACAAGAGGAGGAAUUCAUCCUACUGGCCUGAUGGAUACCCAUCAGUAAAGGAAAUGUGUCUUAUGCUUUGUACAGUUUUCCACAGACCUGACAUAUUCGGGAUUGAGUUUCAUUCCCCAGGAAGAUUUAUCAUUUAAUUAUACGAGGAACACAAAGUAAAUCACAGCCGUUCAAAGAAAUUAGUCAACAAGAAAUAGAUGCUUUUCCUGCAGUAUAGUGACGACUCCACCACAGGCUUGAAUUGGGAGUGCACUCUGUAUAUAAAGGGAAUUAUGGACAAAGGAAAAUUAGAAUAAGAAUAAGCCAGGAUUAAAUGAAACAGAAGAAAAUAGAAGGAAACCUAAACAUAAUUGAUAAGUAGUCAUGAAUAUUUUAUUUUUUAC